AUGGACAAUGUUAGUUCCAAAUGUCUGAGUGCUGCUGAAGUAUCAUCUGAUGGCCCAUGCAAAACGCCUUUGCUGAAGAUAAUGAAAACUUGUGCAUUUACGAGUGCCUUGCGAUCUAAGCCUAGAGUGAACAAAAGUGCAUCUGUAAAAUGUGCUGCUGAUAUGGUAGAGAAUUCAUCUGAGUUCUCAAAUGGGUCAGGGCUGAGAUGCCUUCUUUUGGAGAAGCAAGAGGUGUUUAUGUACUUCGAUAAUGAUGCCUGCUCUAAGAAACUUCAUGGUUGGCCUGGAGCCCUCAUAGACAAUUGCAGAGGUCGCAAUAUCAAACUUGAUAUGGGUGUCCUGUGCAAUUAAUUGUGCAACC
rnacentral:lncRNA from 1 species